rnacentral:lncRNA from 1 species
CCACGGUGGAGGGAGGUGGGAGGCCGAGACGGCCCCGGGGGUCGGCGGAGACCCAGCGGGAGCAGGGGGAAAUCGGAAGAGCUGGGGGCAUGGAGCGGGCGAGUUUGGAGCGGAAUGAGCCGGGAGCCCUACGUUGUGGAAGGAAGACAACAGUAUAGGACCAUCAGCAGGACCGGACAGAGAGGGGCACGUAAGCAGUAAUUACUGGAUGGCAUAGUAAUUCUACUAAAAAUUAAAAUGCCACUUAUUGGAAUGGUGUGUGAACACUCUAAAGCAACCCGGGAAGAAGACAGCAGUCAAGAAGACCAAGGAAGGAAAUGGAGGAGGGAUGACCCCACCAUUACAGGCAGGGAAGGACUGACCAAAGAGACAGAAAUGUAGUCUAGGAAAUGUGUCAUCUUAGAAAGGAACGGGAAGGGGCUGGAGAGGUGGCUCAGAAGUAAAGAGCAGUGGAUGCUCUUUCAGGGGACCUGAGUUGGCCUCCUAAUGUCUUCAGGUACCUCCUAACUGCAUGUAACUCCAGCUCCGGGAGAUUCUGGAUUCUUCUGGUCUCCACGGCACUGCGUUCACGCGCACGCGCGCGCGCACACACACACACACACACACACACACACAAAUUAAUCUUAGAAAAGCAUAGGAAGCCUGAUUUUUUGUUUGUUUGUUUGUUUUGGGGUUUUUUUUUUGUUUGUUUUGUUUUGUUUUUGAGACAGGGUUUCUCUGUAUAGCCCUGGCUGUCCUGGAACUUGUAGACCAGGCUGGCCUUGAACUCAGAAAUCCGCCUGCCUCUGACUCCCGAGUGCUGAGAUUAAAGGUGUGCACCACCACACCCGACAAGGAAGCCUGUUUUAAGAAGUGAUUCCAUGGAGGAGUUCUGCGGCGGCUCAGGGCUUGACUAAACAGUGGACCUCAGACAAGAGAGGCUAAACCAGGCUGCAGGUGACAGGAAGAAUUGAAUAAACUGAAAGCAAAGGGCAGCCUUCUAAUUACGCUUCGUGGCUAUGUGGACAACCUGGAGAAGUCUGGAAACGUGAGUGGUGCUAAUCCCCUUUGUAAUGAAAGGCCCGGGUAAAAACAGAUGGGGCAAGUAGGUGUAAUGGGUAUUUCAGGAGCUUGAAUCUGAUGUCACAGCUUGUCUGGAUGGGACGUGCAUCUACUUGCAGAGCUAUGUUCCCAUCUAGUGUAAUUGUGGGUGUUUUAAUUCAGGCGUCACCUCUAUUUUGUCCUCUCUCCACAGCUUUCCUCCUCCAUUUUACUACUUGAGGGAGCAGUGGGUGGGAUACUAGGCAAGUAGCUGCAAUGGCUGGUGCUUUAUGGUUCCCUGGCAUCCCCUGAAUCUGUUAACAUCCCAACCUUCUUGACAGCCAGCCCCACCCCAUCACAUUCUUACUCCUUCCCUUUCCAAGAAAGAAGCCAGAAGCCCGAAGCCAGCAGUAGAGCUCUGACUGGCUUGUAUGCCUAGAAAGGAAGGGCUCUUCUUUCGCCUCACGGGCACAAAUGGGACCCACGAGCGCCGAUUUCAGACUAUUCUGAUCCCUUCAAAAAGAAAGUUAGGAGUCCAGGCUACUUCACUUUGGUGAUAGUAAUCAAACCCUAAUCACGGUGCAGCCACAAGUCACAGAGACCGAAAUAGCAGACUUAUGACAGACAAGGAUGGAGACAGCUAAGGAACUGGCUAUUAAUCACCAGUCCCUCUGCUCACAGCCCAUUGGGUAGGUGUCUGGAGAAGAGCUGAAGCAAAGGGUUAUCAGCCUGUGCCCCAGGCCUCUGAGCAGCCAAGGCCCCUAGGUCCCAGAACAACACAGUGAACAGGAAAUGGCCUCCAAGAAAGUUAAGUUCUCUGCAUGUGUCAAGGAGAGGUGGUUCACAG